GUAUUAAUAGUUUAAUUUAUAAAAACAUUAAUUUUGUAAAUUAAAAUUAGAGUAAUUCUUUUGUACA
rnacentral:tRNA from 1 species